GGGCGUAAGAGCUCGUAGGUGGUUUGUCGCGUUGUCCGUGAAAACUCACAGCUUAACUGUGGGCGUGCGGGCGAUACGGGCAGACUGGAGUACUGCAGGGGAGACUGGAAUUCCUGGUGUAGCGGUGGAAUGCGCAGAUAUCAGGAGGAACACCGGUGGCGAAGGCGGGUCUCUGGGCAGUAACUGACGCUGAGGAGCGAAAGCGUGGGGAGCGAACAGGAUUAGAUACCCUGGUAGUCCACGCCGUAAACGGUGGGUACUAGGUGUGGGUUUCCUUCCUUGGGAUCCGUGCCGUAGCUAACGCAUUAAGUACCCCGCCUGGGGAGUACGGCCGCAAGGCUAAAACUCAAAGGAAUUGACGGGGGCCCGCACAAGCGGCGGAGCAUGUGGAUUAAUUCGAUGCAACGCGAAGAACCUUACCUGGGUUUGACAUGCACAGGACGCGUCUAGAGAUAGGCGUUCCCUUGUGGCCUGUGUGCAGGUGGUGCAUGGCUGUCGUCAGCUCGUGUCGUGAGAUGUUGGGUUAAGUCCCGCAACGAGCGCAACCCUUGUCUCAUGUUGCCAGCGCGUUAUGGCGGGGACUCGUGAGAGACUGCCGGGGUCAACUCGGAGGAAGGUGGGGGAUGACGUCAAGUCAUCAUGCCCCUUAUGUCCAGGGCUUCACACAUGCUACAAUGGCCGGUACAAAGGGCUGCGAUGCCGUGAGGUGGAGCGAAUCCUUUCAAAGCCGGUCUCAGUUCGGAUCGGGGUCUGCAACUCGACCCCGUGAAGUCGGAGUCGCUAGUAAUCGCAGAUCAGCAACGCUGCGGUGAUACGUUCCCGGCUUGUACACACCGCCCGUC
rnacentral:rRNA from 1 species